UACGGGGGGGGGCAAGCGUUGUUCGGAAUUACUGGGCGUAAAGGGCGCGUAGGCGGUUCGCUAAGUUGGAUGUGAAAACUCUGGGCUCAACCCAGAGCCUGCAUCCAAAACUGGCGGGCUAGAGUUCUGGAGGGGGUAGCGGAAUUCCUGGUGUAGCGGUGAAAUUCGUAGAUAUUCGGAAGAACACCAGUGGCGAAGGCGGCUCACUGGUCCGGUACUGACGCUGAUGUGCGAAAGCGUGGGGAGCAAACAGG
rnacentral:rRNA from 1 species